rnacentral:rRNA from 1 species
CCUACGGGUGGCAGUGGGGAAUAUUGGGCAAUGGAGGAAACUCUGACCCAGCAACGCCGCGUGAAUGAUGAAGGUCUUCGGAUUGUAAAGUUCUUUUCUAAGGGAAGAAGAAAGUGACGGUACCUUAGGAAUAAGCCUCGGCUAACUACGUGCCAGCAGCCGCGGUAAUACGUAGGAGGCAAGCGUUAUCCGGAAUGACUGGGCGUAAAGGGUGCGUAGGUGGUUUGACAAGUUGGUAGCGUAACUCCGAGGCUUAACCUCGGCACUACUACCAAAACUGUUGGACUCGAGUGCAGGAGGGGCAAAUGGAAUUCCUAGUGUAGCGGUGGAAUGCGUAGAUAUUAGGAGGAACACCAGUGGCGAAGGCGGGUUGCUAGACUGUAACUGACACUGAGGCACGAAAGCGUGGGGAGCAAACAGGAUUAGAUACCCUUGUAGUC